UAAGGUAGCAUCUGUGAACAUACUUUAUGAGCCAUAAAACUGCAGGAUAUAAGGCAUUUUAAGCUUCCCAGUGGCACCGGCACUGCAGGUGUUGCCCCAGUGUCCACUGUACUGCAGGACCAAUGACUACCUCAAGCCCGCCUUCUCAGCUUUGGGUGUUGGUGGUUUUUUUUUUUUUUUUUAAAUCUGUCUUUUGUCUUUUUAGGGCCACACCCACGGCAUAUGGAAGUUCCCAGGCUAGGGAUCAAAUCGGAGCUGUAGCCACCGGCCUGCGCCACAGCCACACCAUGCCAGAUCUGAGCCACAUCUGUGACCUACACCAUAGCUCACAGCAACGCCAGAUCUUUGACCCACUGCCCUAGGCUGGGGAUCGAACCUGCGUCCUCAUGGACAUUAGUCAGAUUCGUGCCACUGCCACGACGGGCACUCCUCACCUUUCUUUACUAUACUCUCCCCGCACCUGUGGCAAUUACUGGUUACUCUUAUUCAGGAGGCAGUGGGCUGCAUAUCUGUCCCACCGCACCCAAGUCCCUCGAGGACUCGGCAGCGUGCUCGACAACUUGCUGCCUGGCCCUAUCGUGGCCUCCAGUUCUCAUUUUGUUGAGUGAAUGAAUGAGGGCUUCACCGGGCUGCAGCACCAGCUGUCUUGUGAGGCCAGUGUUCCCUAGGCUUCUUGCUGUUUAGAAAGUCUUGGUCUUGACCCCAGAUCCUGACUGCAGGAGAAGCAGGAAGAAAAGGGUCCUUGUCAGGAGUUCUCUGGCUGUCUGCCUGCCACGGUGGCUGUGUCUCAGGUCACCUGCCCUGACAGUGCAGGACCAGCUUUACUUCCUCCCCUUCUCCCUUGAUGUUUUCCAGAGAAAUAUUUCUGCAAAGACCAGACAACAUUCAAGAAUUUGCGGCAGACUAUUUCACGGAUCCAAGACUUCCCAACAAGAUUCACAUGCAGCUAAUUAAGGAGAAGAAAGCGGCUUAAUUAGCAAAAUCAUGAUGCUCAGCUGUUGAGAGAGCCCAGAAAGAAUCCAGCCUCAGGGUGGGUGUUAACCUCACUUACAGACAGAGGCUUCUUUACUCCUGUGAAAAUACGCACGCACCGGCUCCUCGGCCCAGGGUGUGAAAGAAACCAAACAGACGCUGCAGAGAAAUUUCGUGCAAGUGUUGAGUUUUCCUGACACCACUCUGGGGAGUUGGGGGCUGUGAAGAGAGGCUCGGGGUUUGUCUGGCAUGUCUGUGGCAGGGAGAGACAUCCGUCUUCUUAAUCCAGUGACACAGAUUAAGAGGAUGGAAGUGGGAGUAGCUGUGGAGGAAAGAGAGGCAGCGAGAUGGGGGUGGGAGGCCUUAGGAUCAAGGCCUUGCGCUGAGGCUGCGGAAUUCCAGCGUGGCCCUCUCCUUCUGUCCAGAGGGGCUUUUCCUACUGCUUCUGGAAAGUGUGGGGGCAGUUUGGAUCGGGCGCCCCCCGCCCCAGGCAAACCCAGCUACGUGAUGAGGACCAUCACCCAUUUCGCAGGCUCGAUUUCUGAGAUGGUUUUGCAGGUCGGGCUCUUUAAAUGUGAGGUAGGCGGAAGCCACACUCCGGAGUUAGUAGCACCGUUUCUGUUCCGCAGGGUCAUCUGGGAGCAAGAGAGCCCUGCUGCCAUCAGUGUGGGUUUCCAGGCUGCCUUGGGCUGUGUCUGCUGUUGCAAAGGCUUUUAAAGAUACUCAUUAAAACCAGACCUUCCUGC
rnacentral:lncRNA from 1 species